UUAUAAAAGCUUUGGCAAUAGAUAUACUAAAAUUGGAAAGAUACAGAUAUUAGCAUAGCCCCUUAGCAAGGAUGACAUACAGAUUUGCAAAACAUUCCGUAUUUUU
ensembl:snRNA U6 U6 spliceosomal RNA